rnacentral:rRNA from 1 species
GUGGAUUAGAUAUCCUGGUAGUCCACGCCGUAAACGAUGGAUACUAGGUGUAGGAGGUAUCGACCCCUUCUGUGCCGCAGUUAACACAAUAAGUAUCCCACCUGGGGAGUACGACCGCAAGGUUGAAACUCAAAGGAAUUGACGGGGGCCCGCACAAGCAGUGGAGUAUGUGGUUUAAUUCGAAGCAACGCGAAGAACCUUACCAGGACUUGACAUCCCUCUGACCGCUCUAGAGAUAGAGCUUUCCUUCGGGACAGGGGUGACAGGUGGUGCACGGCUGUCGUCAACU